GCUCUAGACUAGCCGGAUCCCCCGGGCUGCAGCCCAAUGUGGAAUUCGCCUUCACCCGCCCCGCGCGGCGGGCGGGGCGGGGGCACGGGGGGUCUAAGAAAAGGCAGCAGUGGGGAAUAUUGCACAAUGGGCGCAAGCCUGAUGCAGCGACGCCGCGUGAGGGAUGGAGGCCUUCGGGUUGUAAACCUCUUUUGUUU
rnacentral:rRNA from 1 species